rnacentral:rRNA from 1 species
UACAGAGGGGGCGAGCGUUGUUCGGAAUUACUGGGCGUAAAGGGCGCGUAGGCGGCCAACUAAGUCAGACGUGAAAUCCCUCGGCUCAACCGGGGAACUGCGUCUGAUACUGGAUGGCUUGAAUUCGGGAGAGGGAUGCGGAAUUCCAGGUGUAGCGGUGAAAUGCGUAGAUAUCUGGAAGAACACCGGUGGCGAAGGCGGCCUGCUGGGACGUGGCUGACGCUGAGGCGCGACAGCGUGGGGAGCAAACAGG